CUAGAGUACGAUAGAGGGAGGUAGAAUUCAUAGUGUAGCGGUGGAAUGCGUAGAUAUUAUGAAGAAUACCAGUGGCGAAGGCGGCCUCCUGGAUCUGUACUGACACUGAGGUGCGAAAGCGUGGGUAGCGAACAGGAUUAGAUACCCUGGUAGUCCACGCCGUAAACGAUGACAACUAGCUGUUAGGAGACUAUGUCUUUUAGUGGCGCAGCUAACGUUUUAAGUUGUCCGCCUGGGGAGUACGGCCGCAAGGCUAAAACUCAAAUGAAUUGACGGGGACCCGCACAAGCAGUGGAUCAUGUGGUUUAAUUCGAUGCAACGCGAAAAACCUUACCUACUCUUGACAUACUUGGAAGCUCUUGUAAUGAGAGUGUGCUUUUAAGAACCAAGAUACAGGUGCUGCAUGGCUGUCGUCAGCUCGUGUCGUGAGAUGUUCCGUUAAGUCGGAUAACGAGCGCAACCCUUACCCUUAUUUGCCAGCGAUUCGGUCGGGAACUAUAAGGGGACUGCCGGUGAUAAACCGGAGGAAGGUGAGGACGACGUCAAGUCAUCAUGGCCCUUACGAGUAGGGCUACACACGUGAUACAAUGGGAGAGACAGACGGACGCUAAGCCGCGAGGUGGUGCUAAUCCUAGAAACUCUCUCGUAGUCCGGAUUGGAGUCUGCAACUCGACUCCAUGAAGUUGGAAUUGCUAGUAAUCGCGGAUCAGCAUGCCGCGGUGAAUACGUUCUCGGGUCUUGUACACACCGCCCGUCACACCAUGGAAGUGGAUUGCACCAGAAGUAGAUAGUCUAACCUUAGGGAAGGCGUUUACCACGGUGUGCUUCAUGACUGGGGUGAAGUCGUAACAAGGUAACC
rnacentral:rRNA from 1 species